AGAGUUUGAUCCUGGCUCAGGACGAACGCUGGCGGCAUGCCUAACACAUGCAAGUCGAACGAGAAAGUUCCUUCGGGAGCAAUUAAAGUGGCGCACGGGUGAGUAACGCGUAGACAAUCUGCCCUUCAGUCUGGGACAACUUUUCGAAAGGAGAGCUAAUACCGGAUAACAAUGCAUGACACAAGUUGUAUAUUUGAAAGCUUUAUGUGCUGAAGGAGGGGUCUGCGUCCCAUUAGCUAGUUGGUAGGGUAAAGGCUUACCAAGGCAACGAUGGGUAGCGGGUUUGAGAGGACGAUCCGCCACACUGGAACUGAGACACGGUCCAGACUCCUACGGGAGGCAGCAGUGGGGAAUAUUGCACAAUGGAGGAAACUCUGAUGCAGCAACGCCGCGUGGAGGAUGACGCAUUUCGGUGUGUAAACUCCUUUUAUAUGUCAAGAAAAUGACGGUAGCAUAUGAAUAAGCACCGGCUAACUCCGUGCCAGCAGCCGCGGUAAUACGGAGGGUGCAAGCGUUACUCGGAAUCACUGGGCGUAAAGGACGCGUAGGCGGGAUGCCAAGUCUGAUGUGAAAUCCUAUGGCUUAACCAUAGAACUGCAUUGGAAACUGGUAACCUAGAGUAUGGGAGGGGGAGAUGGAAUUAGUGGUGUAGGGGUAAAAUCCGUAGAUAUCACUAGGAAUACCGAAAGCGAAGGCGAUCUCCUGGAACAAUACUGACGCUAAGGCGUGAAAGCGUGGGGAGCAAACGGGAUUAGAUACCCCGGUAGUCCACGCCCUAAACGAUGAACACUAGUCGUCGGGAUGCUUGUCAUCUCGGUGAUGCACUUAACAGAUUAAGUGUUCCGCCUGGGGAGUACGGUCGCAAGAUUAAAACUCAAAGGAAUAGACGGGGACCCGCACAAGUGGUGGAGCAUGUGGUUUAAUUCGAAGAUACGCGAAGAACCUUACCUAGCCUUGACAUUGAUUGAACACUCUAGAGAUAGAGUGGUGCCCUUCGGGGAACAUGAAAACAGGUGCUGCACGGCUGUCGUCAGCUCGUGUCGUGAGAUGUUGGGUUAAGUCCCGCAACGAGCGCAA
rnacentral:rRNA from 1 species